UCAUUAUAGCCACGUCGAGCGAAGAUUAUAAUUAUAAGAGGACAAUGGAGAUUACUGAAGAAGAAAGUUGUUCAUCGUAUCCACCUUGUGUUCCUACCAAUAAAACAUCAAGGUCUGAUGAAUGGAUAUGGCAUUACUUUACAAUAUAUAACGGUGAAUUUAUCAAAUGCGAUAUU